rnacentral:rRNA from 1 species
GACGAACGCUGGCGGCGUGCUUAACACAUGCAAGUCGAACGGAAAGGCCCUGCUUGCAGGGUACUCGAGUGGCGAACGGGUGAGUAACACGUGGGUGAUCUGCCCUGCACUUCGUGAUAAGCCUGGGAAACUGGGUCUAAUACCGGAUAGGAGCCAUUUUUAGUGUGAUGGUUGGAAAGUUUUUUCGGUGUAGGAUGAGCUCGCGGCCUAUCAGCUUGUUGGUGGGGUAAUGGCCUACCAAGGCGGCGACGGGUAGCCGGCCUGAGAGGGUGGACGGCCACAUUGGGACUGAGAUACGGCCCAGACUCCUACGGGAGGCAGCAGUGGGGAAUAUUGCACCAUGGGCGCAAGCCUGAUGCAGCGACGCCGCGUGGGGGAUGACGACCUUCGGGUUGUAAACUCCUUUCGCUAGGGACGAAGCUUUUUGUGACGGUACCUAGAGAAGAAGCACCGGCUAACUACGUG